rnacentral:sRNA from 1 species
CUUGCAGAACACUGGAUAUGACUGGAGAAAAAUGACCCAUGAAGGAAGGCCAUACUCUAGCAAUGUUAACAGCCUCACAUCAGAAAGUAUUACUUCUUUUAGUCUGAAAGGGAGAUCGUGGUCCAGAAUCGUCAUCAUCACUCUGUACAUUCUCACUGUCCCCUUCAGGUGUUGAGAAAUAAUUCUGAGCGUCAUAAAACACAUUUCCUGUACAGCAAGCAUAUAAGUGGUCUGCACAUGCAGCAGAGAAGAAUGGAGAGCACAUUCAUGCCUUUACCUUUAGGAGAGAUGCUGUUCAAAUAAUCCUGUAGGAGCUGGCAUUCAGAGUAAUUUCCAGAAAACCAUGAAGUGAUUAAUGAUGAAGCUUGGUUGACACUCUCAAAUUCCCAUCUCUUCAUUGUUUUAGCUUCCACUGCCAUAGAAGUAUCAGUCUACAACAACAUAAAAACAAAAUAAGCAUGUACCAUCCAUUAAUAGCUAUGAAUAUCAUGUUCAGUCUAAAACAAUACCUGAAGUUCAUUGAAAUAGUUCAUGCCGCGCACAUCAGCCCAGUCUACCUCAAAAAUUAUAAAGCCAUAUAAGGUUCGGUGCAGUUCCUUGUUCAGCAGGCGAGAAUCCUUCAGCCUAUUCACAUGAAGCUUUUUAUUCCGCAUGGCAUCAUCAAUUAAG